rnacentral:rRNA from 1 species
CCUACGGGAGGCAGCAGUGAGGAAUAUUGGUCAAUGGACGAGAGUCUGAACCAGCCAAGUAGCGUGAAGGAUGACUGCCCUAUGGGUUGUAAACUUCUUUUAUAAAGGAAUAAAACGAGGCACGUGUGCCUUUUUGCAUGUACUUUAUGAAUAAGGAUCGGCUAACUCCGUGCCAGCAGCCGCGGUAAUACGGAGGAUCCGAGCGUUAUCCGGAUUUAUUGGGUUUAAAGGGAGCGUAGAUGGGUUGUUAAGUCAGUUGUGAAAGUUUGCGGCUCAACCGUAAAAUUGCAAUUGAUACUGGCAUUCUUGAGUACAGUUGAGGUAAGCGGAAUUCGUGGUGUAGCGGUGAAAUGCUUAGAUAUCAUGAAGAACCCCGAUUGCGAAGGCAGCUUACUAAACUGUGACUGACAUUGAUGCUCGAAAGUGUGGGUAUCAAACAGGAUUAGAUACCCUUGUAGUC